rnacentral:misc_RNA from 1 species
UCCGGUUUAUCACCGGCAGUCCCUGCAGAGUCCUCGGCUUUACCCGUUAGCAACAGCAGGCAAGGGUUGCGCUCGUUGCGGGACUUAACCCAACAUCUCACGACACGAGCUGACGACAGCCAUGCACCACCUGCACACCAACCACAAGGGAAACUAUAUCUCUAUAGCUGUCUGGCGCAUGUCAAACCCAGGUAAGGUUCUUCGCGUUGCAUCGAAUUAAUCCACAUGCUCCGCCGCUUGUGCGGGCCCCCGUCAAUUCCUUUGAGUUCUAGCCUUGCGGCCGUACUCCCCAGGCGGGGCGCUUAAUGCGUUAGCUACGGCACGGAAAACAAAAAUGCUCCCCACACCUAGCACCCAACGUUUACAGCGUGGACUAC